UGCAAAGUUCCUGGAGCCGAAGUGGAGC
rnacentral:piRNA from 1 species